rnacentral:rRNA from 1 species
UACGUAGGUGGCGAGCGUUGUCCGGAUUUACUGGGCGUAAAGGGCGCGUAGGCGGUUCGCUAAGUCGGAUGUGAAAACUCUGGGCUCAACCCAGAGCCUGCAUCCGAAACUGGCGGGCUAGAGUUCUGGAGGGGGUAGCGGAAUUCCAGGUGUAGCGGUGAAAUGCGUAGAUAUCAGGAGGAACACCGGUGGCGAAGGCGGCUACCUGGACAGAAACUGACGCUGAGGCGCGAAAGCUAGGGGAGCAAACAGG